UAUGGCCACAUACACAAAAAUAUAUGGGUGGGGGAGAACAGACACGUUUUCCUUGCCUGGAACCUGCGUCCCUGCCUGGAUCACUAUGAUGGCGAGAGGACAAAUCCACUGCACAUAAGAAGGCUUCUUCAUUCACAGUAACACCUUCCAGAGUUUAGUGACCUUUGGUAUAUGAUUUCUAAAAGAUACCAUGGAUGGACUGCCAUCAAGUCGAUCCCAACUUACGGGUGACCCUAUGGAUAGGGUUUUCAUGAAUAACUGCCGAGAGGCCAACUAGACUACAAGAUAUUUUCCCUGACCAUUAGCCACGCUGGCUGGGACUGCUGGAAGUUGGAGUCCUGCAACGCCUGGAAGGCACCAGAGCAGGGAGGGCUGCUUCUGAGCCACUCCCUUAACCCCUUCUCCUCAUCUGUCCCCCCAUUCCCCUAACCCUUCCGCCUUUUCAAGCCCCUACCUCUUCCUCCUAAAUCUGGCUGUCCCCUGUUGGGAUCAAAGGAAUGCAGUUAGUGGCAGCCAUAGACCACCCGGACUGCUUUUUGCCACUGUGACAUUUGCUUAACUCAGCCAGUCCACAGUGCCUAGUGCAGGGGUCACCAACCUUUUUGGGUCUGUGGGCACAUUUGCAAAGAGGAGAAGCUGUUGUGGGCACCAUACACAUGCCUCAACCAAGCACACACCACAGCCUGUUCUAUUGGGCAUAAGAGAAUUUCGCAUAUAUUGGCUUCCCCAAGGCACCUGGUUGGCCACUGUGAGAACAGGAUGCUGGACUAGAUGGGCCACUGGCCUGAUCCAGCAGGCUCUUCUUAUGUUCUUAGAAUGCUUCUUUCAAAUCUAAUGUAAUGGGGGGAGGGGACCCUGGGGCACCAGGAAAAGUCUCUGUGGGCGCGUAUGCACAUGUGGGCACAAGGCUGAUGUCCAUUGCCCUAGUACAAUCACAAUACAGAUUGUAGAGCAGGAUGAGGAACCUCAGGCCUGGGAGUUGAAUGUGGCCCUCCUGGCCUAUCUGUCCGGCCCUCAGAACUCUGCUCAAGCCAUACCACUCAACAGUUCUGUGUUGCCCCUUCGAGUGUUUUUGCCUGGCUAGAAUGUCCUUGAGCGUUACUCUUGCUUGCCUGAAUAGAGGGUAGAGAGAGGUGUGGGAGUGUGUGUAGAAACUAGUUGACUGUACAAAUGUAAAAUUUGCAUUUCUUUCUGAGCCUGCUUUUGACUUUGGCCCUGGCAUAUGGCCUUCAGAAGAUUGCCCAGAAAGGAACGUGGCCCUUGAGCUGAAAAAGGUUCCCCACUCCUGUUGUAGAGCUUUUUGUAGUGGUUGUUCUCCCUAGCUUAGCUUCCCUCGCCGCUUCCAGAAGAACUGCCCAUGCUCAAAAGAAUCUCAGAAAUAGCAGUUGUUUUGUUUGUUUACAAAAAAAUUCUGUUACCCACUGGAGAAUUAGAUGUCUUUUGGUUUCUUCUCUGAAGCACCAGUCUUUCCUCUGUAUUUAUGUAAAGAAAGGGGCUUGCAGCCUUUUCUUCCCUUUAGAAAACAGCGCUGACAGAUCCCGCUAUUAAACUUCACACAGUUUGAUGGUGUUGCCAUGCAUUUGCUGUGUCUCAUAUUCAGUCUGCCUUCUCUGUUCUGGUUUCCCCACAGAGCCAAAGCUAUUACUCAUUGUGGCUGUAAUGCCAGUCAAACUUAGCUUAUAUUUUCCUGCUCCUUCCCCUGGAGAUGCCUAGCAGCACGUAUCUCAGCAGCAGCAGCACUAUUGGUCUUGAAAGCUCACUACACUAUAGACAUUAAUUACCAGGCCUUUUGUUUUCCUAUCUACAACACUAUAACUAGAUUUAUUGGAAUAGGUUAUUUAAAUCUCCGAGACGAUCUAAAUGUCUUAGUCAACUACAGUUGGGCAAUACUACUGAUACAUUUUCCCGGAAUAAAUUGCUCCAUGAUGCUUAGAAUUAUCAAUACACAUUAGAUUUCAGAACUCAUUUGAUUCUCUGUCAUUUAGUGAUUUUUAUUUGACCUGCAGUUGCACAUUUUUCAGUUGCUCCUUUUCUUCUCACAUUGAUACAGUUUCCUCCAAAUCACCAAAAGAAGUGGAAAGGGGAGGUAACAAAUUCCUAUUUGACAAACUUUGUGUCAUAAUUAAAAUUACAUUCACUGUGUCCUCUUAUCUAUCUCAUUUCUAACGACCAGAUUCUUCAGUCACAAAAAGUGGUGAGAAACAGAGUUGCAUGAUAUCUGCACAGCAGUUUUGCUGACUUCAGCUGAUGUCACGUGUAGGGUUGCCAGGUCGGAACCAUCCGAAAAGCUGAGAAAAUGGGGGUGGGGCCCUAGUGACGUUAUGGGGUGGACCCUAGUGAUGUCAUUGGGUGGACCCUAGUGACAUCAUGGGGGCUGGCCCUAGUGACAUCACAGGAGCGGGCCCUAGUGAUGUCAUUAAAGAUGAUACAUUAAGUAUCAACCACAGCUGCUUGGACCAUACCAUUAAAAAAAAAUUCUCUGAUUGGAAAUUAAGAUAGAAAUCUUACCUAAAAGAGGGUGUUCCCAGAUCCAGCUGAAGUGACAAGGUCAUUCCUUCUCACCGGCUUAGGGAGCAUGGAUGGAAAAUGGAAAUGAACUGCCUUCAAGUCAAUCCCGACUUAUGGCAACCCUAUGAAUAGCGUUUUCCUGGUAAGCGGUAUUCAGAGGGGGUUUACCAUUGCCUCCCUGUGAGGCUGAGAGGCAGUGACUGGCCCAAGGUCGCCCAGAGAGCUUCAUGGCUGUGUGGGGAUUUGAACCCUGGUCUCUCAGGUCGUAGUCCAACACCUUUAGGGAACAUUUAAUCUAGCCUACUUGCUUCUUGCAAGAAGGGUUUAUGUGCCCUCAGGCCAGGCCAAUUACCAGAAGGCCAUUGUAGGAAGAAAGGAGCUUAGUGUUGCAGAGAUGUUAGAUGGGACCACAGAUGGAUGCCCCUGAAGGCAGCAAUUCUAAACAUGCUUAUGAAGGAACUAAGCCCCAUAGAACUCAAUAAGACCUACUUCUGAGUAGAUAGGGUUGCAGCCGUGUUAAGCACAAGGGAGGGCAUUCUAGGCAAGCAGUUAGCAACUACCUGUUAGCAUUGUGCUGUUGCUAAGACUUGACUGGGGAACUUCCACAAAGUUAUCCAUAGGCCACUGCAACUUUAUGUGUUGGCUACUGUUCUAUCAGUCUCUAUUCAAACAAAUGGAACAAUCACAAUUACACAAUUACCUCUAGUAUUAAGGUAAAGGUAAAAAAGUGAGGAGAGAGAAAUAAAACCAGUAGCACCAGGUUAAAAACAAACUUAAUCCCAGAUUAGUCACAGUCUUCAGAAGGCUAUUGCUGAUGGCAACAGCACCAUACAUUUACUAUAGUAUUAUACCACUUUAAACAGUCAUUGUUAUGUGCCUUCAAGUCCAUUACGACUUGUGGUGACCCUAUGAAUCAGCGACCUCCAAGAGCAUCCAUCGUGAACCACCCUGUUCAGAUCUUGUAUGUUCAAGUCUGUGGCUUCCUUUAUGAAAUCAAUCCAUCUCUUAUUUGGCCUUCCUCUUUUUCUACUUCCUUCUGUUUUUCCCAGCAUUAUUGUCUUUUCUA